CUCUCUGUUUCCUGAGUUCAAAUGCACACAGCCAGCUUCCUGCUCCUGCCACACAAUGCUGUCCCUGCAUGCUGUCAUGUCUUUCCCAAGACAAUGAUGGCUCUAUCUUCCCAAUGUGACUCCGCGCCCCUGAGAAGAACUGUGCUAACAACAACAUCAACAGAGCCCAGUAUUACUGGGGAAGAAGACAUUUGCCACAGUUCAGCUGGCUCCAAGGAGGCUGUGAGUGACACAUAUUCUCCUCAGUGCCUUCAGAGGCGACUUGGUUUUGUUUUUUAGAAGAAGGCAGUCAAGAAGAAAGAAAAAAAUGGAAUGAUUUAUGUAGCAUUCUGAAAAUGUUACCCAUCAAAUCCUGGAAAUCUCUGAAACGUUUAUGGUGCUGAAGAUGAUGAAUGUUGACCUUCCUCUUCUGUCAUCUUCCUCUGGCUGUGAUAAGACAUAAUCGUUUCCAAACCAUGCCACAUCAGAGAGUAACCCAGGACCGGCUUUCCUAGCCUUAUCCACAUCCAACCUCAGGAGAGACUGUGAGCAAACAAAUCUCAGAUUACACACACUAACAGGUGGGUCUGCCAAAGAUGCUGCUGACUUCUGGGACCCAAUUUCUUUCAGUCCAGGGCCAUCAUGACAAGUGACUCUUGGAGAACAUUCUGCCACGACACCUGCCUGGUGCAACACAGGGUCUUGCAGGGCAGAGCUGGCCAUAUGAACAAAGGCGGGCUUUCAGAGGGAGGUGGCACUGUCUAUACAAACUGCUUUUAAAGUGGGAUACAGUCCCUCUGUAGGGAAAGCUAGCUUUCCCCAUGCAACCUUGAAGUUUUAACCACUGCAGUACCCUCCCUCUGGCCCUUGGUCCUCCAUUGAAGCAAAGCAUUUGAGACCCUGGCUGCACUUGAGGCUCACAAAGCUCCAUUUUAAACCAGGAAGGGCACACCCGGGCAUGGCUGCUGUAACGCACAGCCAGAGAAUGGCUAAGGGAAUGGAGAGGUUGGAAACUCCAUCUGGGAACACUCAGCUCAAAGCUGUUUGCCCCAUUGGCCUCUGUAGAAUCUGCCCUGGUAACUAAGGCAGGCCAGCCUUUGAAAGUCAGGGGAAAGACAGCCCCGGACUCUUGAGGACCCAGAGUAAACUCACAAGGUCUGUGAGCCAGGCACCCAGUGAACUAGAGUUCUCUGCCAUCUCCUGAGGUGACAGGAAUCUGUACUGGGAGCUAUGCUAAGGCCUUUUGAGUUUUAAUUGUCUUAUAAUUCUUAGCAUCAACCUGCAAGGAAGGUAUUAAUGGGUGCUUUUGUAGAGGGAGAAACUGAGGCUCAGAAAUAGGAAACAAUUCACCCAAGGUCACACAGCUAGGAGGAGAUGUAAGUCCGACCUGUUCUGAAGCUGGAGCCAGCCUGGAGAGGAACCAGGCAGCAAUUACGGAAGUACCAAGUACAAGCGUAAGUCAAAAUAAUUGCUGCUGAAGCAGGCUGUCUCAGAAAAAAAUCUUUAGUGACAAUUCCUUAAACAGAAGAGGAAGAAAAAUAAUUUAGAAUUCUUGAUGACAUUUUGGGGCAGAGCUUCAAAGUUCCCCAAAUAAGUAGUGAAUGCCAUCAAAAGGACACCGUGGAGUGGCUGAAUCACAGGCGCAGGGUGCCAAGAAUGAGCAGAGAGAAGAAGACAUUUGACACUAUGCUCUUUGGAUUGUUAACAACAUCUGAAAAUCUCUCUAAAUCAGCACAUUUCCUAGACAGCUGCAAUCCACUCUGGGAAGCCUGUCAGCCACCGAUUAAUUCCCGAUCAAUGAGAAACCACAUGACAGCAAAUAAACCAGGCCACGCCUGGGAGGUUUGUGGGCCUGGGGUCAAAUCAAAGGCUUACCCUUUCUGAGUAGAGUUCAAAACCAAACUCUGAGCUAACGAAACCAUUUUCAUUAUAAAGAACCCAGCCUCAGGUGUUUUAUUAUAGCAUCAGAGAAUGGACAAAUACAAGGACCAAAUUAAAAAAGAGAGAAAGAAGUUGAUGAGAUGAGCCUGAAGAUAGGAAUGUGCCCCUGAAGCGGGACUUGUAGUAAAAAGCCAGCUGGCAGCUGUGAUUGCUGCUGCUCCAACAUAACAGAGAAAAUGAACCAAGAGGGACUAAAUGCUGACUUGGGGCAGGUUCUCUAAGUAAGUUACAUAGCUGCCUGCACUCUGUGGCAUGGCUUUGCACCGUAGAGAAAAAGCCACAUGGGAAUAGGGGGAAAUGACUCCAGUUCAUUUAUAGUCACAAAACACAAGUUUGUUUUAGACAUGUCUGGAUCUCUGUUAUGAUUUCUAAGAGUGGGACAAUGUCUUCUAAAUUCAUGUGGCCAUGAGCCAAUUAAAUAUUUACUGAUGCAAGGGAGGUGUUCUGGAGAAGUCAGUUGGGUGAAAGACAGUAGCAGGGCCUAAGAACAUACACACAAUAUAGCCAAAUGAAUGUAACACACACACACACACACACACACACACACACACACUCCCAGGCUGUGGCCUGUUGGGUCUAGCUGCCUCUUGAUCACCAAUGGUGGAUCACCAAGUAGAUCCAAGCAGUGUUUAAAGAUCCAGGAGGGGCUGGGGAGAAGGCUCAGUUGGGAAAGUGCUUGUUGGACAAGCAUGAGGACCUGUGUUUGGCUCCCCAGCAUCUGUGUAAAAAGCGGGUGUGAAAGCCUAUGCCAGAAUCCUAGCCCUGGGGAGGCAGAGCUAGGAGCUCUUUGGGGCUUUACUGGCUCUGAAUCAAUGAGCUCCAGGUUCAGUAAAGACCUUGUCUCAAAAAAGAAAGUGGAGGGACUGGGGCUAUGCUCAGUGGUUGAGAACACUUAGUGCUUUGCUGAGGACCAAAGUUUGGUUCCUAGCAGCCACACGGAGCAGCUCACAACUGCUUCUAACUCUAGCUUAGGGGAUUCAACAUACUAUUCCAGCUUUGGUGAAUACCUGCCCUUACAUGUACCUACCCACAUACAAACACAUACACUCUAAAAUAUAAUAAAUGUUAAACAAGUAAGGUGAACAACUGAAGAAGGCAUCCAGUGUUAACCUUUGGCUUCCACUGCAUGUACAUGUAUAUGUGAACAUACACACAAUAUAGCCAAAUGAAUGUAACACACACACACACACACACACACACACACACACACACACACACGAUUCAGAAGGAGCUCCCCAGGCUGUGGGAGAGGCCAUUUGCAUGCCUGGCUGACCUCUGGCUGGUCUGUUGUGACAUUAUUUAUCCUGUAAGGGAAACAUUAACAAGCAAAGUACGCUAGAGAGACCCCAAGGUGGGAAGGAAAAUCGUUACCCACCACUGGAGAAAACAAAUUUAUAAAUAGCUGUUCUACUCCCCUCCCUUUAGAUCAGGGAGGGCAGGGGGCAAAAACCGGAAAGCAGAGCUUUGGGGAUGAGUCACUGGGCUCUACAGAGGGAUGUUCCACUUGGCCAUUCCAAAAGUGGAUUGCUAAUUAGAUCAAGCACCCAGUAACAGGGUCUAUAUGCACUACGACAUUACAUAACCCCAGGCAAUCAGACAAGUCUUGGUGUCCUACAGAACUGAGGGGCGUGCUUAAAUCUGAGGUAGGUCCACCAGCAGAGGUCAGGGUGAGGGGAGUUGCCCACAAUGCUCAAUGGAAGGCCCUGUCCCAUUUCUAUUAGCUGCAGGCGCAGGCUGGCAGAUGGAAACGCACAGAAUUUACCCGUUUCACUUCACAACAACGUACAUCUCUCUUGGACAGUGCGCUUCCUAACGGUGCAUUUACCCACUCUGGGUGGGUAAAUUCAACUAAUAUUGACUGUGUGCCAACUCCAUGCCAGGAGGCCCUGUGCUCAGACGUGCAGGUCAGCACUGAUAACACACUGUGCUCGUGGAACACAUAGUCUACUACGCUGGUAGCUCUUGAGUUCUGGGAAAAAACAAAAAACAAAAAACAAAAACAAAUCACUGAGCACUGCUUUUCCCUUGCUAGGGAUCCUGAGGGUCAGAGAAGGGAACCAGUUUGCCGCAGACAUAGGAUAUAUGGUACAGUCAGGACUCAACUUGAUUGAGCAGGAUCCCAGCAUCUUUAUACAUAAGCCCAAUCACUCUCCUCAUGAUAAAAAGUCUGUGUGACUGUAUCCUCGGUUGAAGCUCCUUCCACUCUUUGCUACACAUCCCAAAGCAUGCAACCUAUAGUCGAGUUGUAAACCUAUGAUGUUACAGCAAGAGAGUACGGAACUAGCAACAGGCAAACGGUACAUGGGUAAACUGUGAGGUGCCAUGCUGUCGAGAGUCCUUUCCCAGCAGGGCCAAUGAG